CCCUUAGAUGUUCUGGGCCGCACGCGCGCUACACUGAUGCAUUCAACGAGCCUAUCCUUGACCGACAGGUCCGGGUAAUCUUUGAAUCUGCAUCGUGACGGGGAUAGAUUAUUGCAAUUAUUAAUCUUCAACGAGGAAUGCCUAGUAGGCGCAAGUCAUCAGCUUGCGUCGAUUACGUCCCUGCCCUUUGUACACACCGCCCGUCGCUCCUACCGAUUGGGUGUGCUGGUGAAAUGUUCGGAUCGGCCGUUUGUCGCGGUUUCCGCGUCAUGUGGCUGAGAAGUUCUUUAAACCCUCCCACCUAGAGGAAGGAGAAGUCGUAACA
rnacentral:rRNA from 1 species